rnacentral:lncRNA from 1 species
CUUAAAAACAACUCUACCAUCAACUUCCAUAACAUUAUGAGUGUAGCAAAGUUAAUAAUACUUUUAUUAUCAUAAAUUAUCAUGUUGAAAUCUCCCUGCUUGUCCCAUUUUUUAAUAGAUGUAUUUGAAUUUUAAUAGCUCUUCUUCAUGUAUGUUAUGGCUCCAUCUGUAGGUUCCUCUUCCCUCGUUUUUCUUCCUUGCAAUUUAUUUGUUGAAAAAAAUCAUGUCCUUGUCCUUAGAGUUUUCUCUGGUAUGAGUUUGAUGAUUGCAUUCCAUGGUGUCAUUGAACAUGUUCCUCUACUCCUUGUUUUUCCUAUAAACUGGUAUUUGUUAGAAGAUUUUAUUUGGAGACAAGGUCUUGCUCUGUUGCUCAGGCCACACUGUGAAUUAUGGGCUGCUGAUGUGACACAGGCCAAACCUUGUGCUGUUCCUUCCCUGUUGACUGCCCCCAACCCCCAUUCCCCAGCACCAACUGUCCCCUUAACUGCUGAGAUAGACAUUCCACUGGUAACAGCCAGUGCCUUACUGCCAAGGCUCACACAGCCAGAGUGAUCUUUUUGGCAUCUUCAUCAGAUUUCUUCACUACCCUGUUCAAAUCUAUCCUAUAACCUCCUGCUUCACAUCUAAAACAAGAUCCAUACUCCUCAGUAUUGCCGAUGUGGCCCACUGGGGUCUUCCUUAUACCUGCUUCUCCAACCACAAC